ensembl:scaRNA SCARNA2 small Cajal body-specific RNA 2
GGGCAGGGGCGCGGGUUCUGCAUACCGGUUGCUUGGUGUGCGUGAGGCGGCCGAGUUACGUGCGGAAGGACGCGUGGAAGGCGAUUGAGUGUGUGUGUGAGUGCAAGGCCAGAGUGCCAGUGUGUGUGCAAGGCGAGCGCAUGUCCGUGUGCCGAGCCGGCCCUCCCUAAACCUCUCCCCCCCCUACACGCUGAUCUUAUUUGAUCGGGUCGCGCUCCUGCCCCGCCGGCCUGACCCGAGAUGAGAAGCUCCCCUCCCGCGAAGCCCCGGUCGGGGCGCUGUGCGGCGAGGCCUAUGCGAACAGGCGGCGGCGGCCGCUCCCGGGUUCCCCGGAGCCAGCCCUUCGCGGGCCUGGCCGGGCCGGGCGCUCAGAAGUGAUGAGUUGAUCAGAUAGACGAGGCGGGGCUUGUCCCUGCCCUUGAGUAUCGAGGCGAUUCUGAUCUGA